rnacentral:rRNA from 1 species
AACGAACGCUGGCGGCAGGCUUAACACAUGCAAGUCGAGCGCCUCGCAAGGGGAGCGGCAGACGGGUGAGUAACGCGUGGGAACGUACCCUUUACUACGGAAUAGCUCCGGGAAACUGGAAUUAAUACCGUAUGUGCCCUUUGGGGGAAAGAUUUAUCGGUAAAGGAUCGGCCCGCGUUGGAUUAGCUAGUUGGUGGGGUAAAGGCCUACCAAGGCGACGAUCCAUAGCUGGUCUGAGAGGAUGAUCAGCCACAUUGGGACUGAGACACGGCCCAAACUCCUACGGGAGGCAGCAGUGGGGAAUAUUGGACAAUGGACGCAAGCCUGAUCCAGCCAUGCCGCGUGAGUGAUGAAGGCCUUAGGGUUGUAAAGCUCUUUCACCGGAGAAGAUAAUGACGGUAUCCGGAGAAGAAGCCCCGGCUAACUUCGUGCCAGCAGCCGCGGUAACAC